rnacentral:rRNA from 1 species
GCACAGAGUUAGCCAGUGCUUCCUCUCGCAGCUUACGUCAAACUGCUCCACUGUUCGUGAAGCAGCCUUCUUAACUCGUGACAGGAGUUUACAACCCGAAGGCCUUCGUCCUCCACGCGGCGUCGCUCCGUCAGGCUUUCGCCCAUUGCGGAAGAUUCUCGA